rnacentral:rRNA from 1 species
ACAUGCAAGUCGAACGAUGACCCGGUGCUUGCACCGGUGAUUAGUGGCGAACGGGUGAGUAACACGUGAGUAACCUGCCCUUAACUCUGGGAUAAGCCUGGGAAACUGGGUCUAAUACCGGAUAUGACUCCUCAUCGCAUGGUGGGGGGUGGAAAGCUUUAUUGUGGUUUUGGAUGGACUCGCGGCCUAUCAGCUUGUUGGUGAGGUAAUGGCUCACCAAGGCGACGACGGGUAGCCGGCCUGAGAGGGUGACCGGCCACACUGGGACUGAGACACGGCCCAAACUUCUACGGGAGGCAGCAGUGGGGAAUAUUGCACAAUGGGCGCAAGCCUGAUGCAGCGACGCCGCGUGAGGGAUGACGGCCUUCGGGUUGUAAACCUCUUUCAGUAGGGAAGAAGCGAAAGUGACGGUACCUGCAGA